rnacentral:rRNA from 1 species
UACGGAGGGUGCGAGCGUUGUCCGGAAUCACUGGGCGUAAAGGGCGCGUAGGCGGCCUGAUAAGUCGGGGGUGAAAUCCUGCGGCUUAACCGCAGGGCUGCCUUCUAAACUGUCGGGCUAGAGCACGGUAGAGGCAGAUGGAAUUCCCGGUGUAGCGGUGGAAUGCGUAGAGAUCCGGAGGAACACCGAAGGCGAAGGCAGUGUCCUGGGGAGUACCUGACGCUCAGGUGCGAAAGCCAGGGGAGCGAACGGG